rnacentral:lncRNA from 1 species
AAUAUUCUUUUCUUUUUCUUUCUUUUUUUUUGGCAGUACUGGAGAUCGAACCCAGGACUUUGCACCUGCAAGGCAGGUGCGGUGCCACUGAACUAAAUCCCUGGCCCUAGCCUGGGCAUUUUUAAUGGGAAUGCAGUGUGGUCUUCAACACUUGAGGUGGGAGCCCGGGCAGGCAGCCCUGUUCUCAGUUCGGAGUGGGCUAACCGGCUGUGCAGACUAGCAGAUGCCAGAUGGACAGCCCAAUAAGUUUGGCUAAUUUCUCACAAGAGUGAAAAUGCCAAAACAGCGACAAGAAAUCACUGGAGAACGUCCUCACGAAGAAUGGCCAUCCUUGGACAUCUCAUGAGCCUUGUAGCAGAGAGUGAUGUAAGGCUGUUGGACAGAUAGAGGUGCCUUGUCAUAUGGAUUUCAGAACCAGUGUCUGGUACAUCUACUGCAUCCCGGGAUGCCUCAGUGUGCACAUGGGAAGAAGACUUCUCUGCCCUGUCAUUUGGAGACAGAAUACCACAAACACUGGAUAAUUUAUAACAAGAAGAAAUUUAUGGCUUACAGUUCUGGAAGGUGGAAAAUCCAAUGUCAAGUUUCUAGCAUCUGGUAAGAUCCUUUUUGCUGUAUCAAAGCAUGGCAGAAGGCAUCACACUGAGGAAGGGCAGAGAGAUGGGGAACCCACUUUCACAUAAUUACCCCUGCAGCAAUAGCAUUAGCUCAAGAGGUCAGAGCCCUUAUGGCCUAAACACUUCUUAAAGGCCCC